rnacentral:rRNA from 1 species
CAGCCGCCGCGGUAAUACAGAGGGUGCGAGCGUUAAUCGGAUUUACUGGGCGUAAAGCGUGCGUAGGCGGCUUCUUAAGUCGGAUGUGAAAUCCCUGAGCUUAACUUAGGAAUUGCAUUCGAUACUGGGAAGCUAGAGUAUGGGAGAGGAUGGUAGAAUUCCAGGUGUAGCGGUGAAAUGCGUAGAGAUCUGGAGGAAUACCGAUGGCGAAGGCAGCCAUAUGGCCUAAUACUGACGCUGAGGUACGAAAGCAUGGGGAGCAAACAGGAUUAGAUACCCCAGUAGUCCCUGUCUCUUAUAC